GUGGGGAAUAUUGGACAAUGGGCGCAAGCCUGAUCCAGCAAUGCCGCGUGCAGGAUGAAGGCCUUCGGGUUGUAAACUGCUUUUGUACGGAACGAAAAGCCCUGGGUUAAUACCCUGGGGUCAUGACGGUACCGUAAGAAUAAGCACCGGCUAACUACGUGCCAGCAGCCGCGGUAAUACGUAGGGUGCGAGCGUUAAUCGGAAUUACUGGGCGUAAAGCGUGCGCAGGCGGUUUUGUAAGACAGAGGUGAAAUCCCCGGGCUCAACCGGGGAACUGCCUUUGUGACUGCAAGGCUAGAGUACGGCAGAGGGGGAUGGAAUUCCGCGUGGAGCAGUGAAAUGCGUAGAUAUGCGGAGGAACACCGAUGGCGAAGGCAAUCCCCUGGGCCUGUACUGACGCUCAUGCACGAAAGCGUGGGGAGCAAACAGGAUUAGAUACCCGGGUAGUCC
rnacentral:rRNA from 1 species